GACCCACGAGCGAAAUUAAGGAAAAAUUUAUUUAUGAAAAUAUCUAAAGUCACACAAGUGUUAAUUUAAUGAUUAACUUAUAAAAUAUUCUAAGAAUUUAGGAAUUUUUGAGGGUACAAAUGAAUUUAAAUGACAUAUUUCAAGAGGAAAGAACUAUUAAAAACUGAUGGAAACAUACGAUACCUUAUUAAACUAGGAAUUAGUUGGCCUUAAUUAUACUAAGAUAGGCUAGAUAACCCACAUAUAAAAGCAAAACACCUUUGCCCAUCCAUUGUAGCCCUAAAACGCCGAUUUCAUGCCGCACUCUGCCCUAAACCCGUCGACCCCUACUCUCGCCCUUGUCGCGAGACGACGGAGCUGGUUGCCAUCGCUGGAGCUCCGACCGAGCAUCUCCCGGCGAGCCAAGCUUCACAGAGGACACCACAGUUGGGCGAGAUCUGCUAUCGAUGCGGCGGCACAUCGCACAGGCGUGGAAUGCAACAUGAAGGAAGGAAGAGGUGAGGAUGUGUCUCUGGACACGACGGAGGGCCUAUGGACGGAGUAGGCGAGGAGGCGGGAUGGACGCAUGGCAUUGUCCGGGUAUUAGGAGUGCCGAGCUUAUGUUUUCCAUGGAGGGGGAUUUUUGCUUUGGUGUUGUCGAGGGUUCUUGGUUGGGUUUUCUCUUUGUUAAACUCUUGUGUGGGAUGUUGGCUUUUACUUCCGAUAAAAUAAAUGUUUGAUUUGGUAUCAUGUUAUAAGUAUAUGCUUAGUUUGUGUUUGGUGGGUUGAUGCAAUGAAAAAAAAAAAAAAAAAAAAACUGAGGGUUGGUUACAGGAUGUUUCAAUUGGUAUCAGAGCAAGCACUCCUAAAGGACAGUAUGUGCACGCCAUCUCGUCAAGAACUCGGCUAUUUCUGCCUUCAAGUUUGUAAGGAAUGUUGUUUUAUGUUGAAGCAUAGCUAGGAUUGCAUAAUUCUUGAGCUCUCAAUAUUUUAUAUUAGUAGAGAAUUAUUUGGUUGGACCAGUAAAUACAUGACCAUUGGAAUGAACUAGUGAAGACAAAAUGAACACUGUAUUAAAAUUUAUUGGUGCAAGUAGCUUCCCUGGAAUGGAAUUGGGUUCAUUUUGGUUGAAUGAAUUGUAAUGCGAGUCUUUCGGAAUGAUCUCGUUUUGUCUUGCGCUGUUCUGGUUGUCGGAUUGGAUGCAACUACUGUUUUCUCAAGCUGGUUGCGAUAUAGAGGUUAGAGUAAGGAGGAUGUAAUAAGGUUUCAAUAAUGUAGAUUGGGCUUUAGCUGAUGAUGUUUUAAUUCUCUUUAUAGCCUCCGAAAUGUUUAACAGAUCAUUGGGUAACACAGGAUUCAUGUAGGAUGGGAAGAUUUCCAAAUCGUUGCAACUAUUCACCAUGUUCUGCUUUUCUUCACUAAAUUGCUAUGGAUUUAUGUGUAUUCAUUUUGAUGUGUUCUAUUUCUUCGAUUAGUUGUGGUUUUGAGGUUAGAUCUAAAAGAUUGAAGUAUGACUACAAUGUGGUUCUUGAUUUAGGUGUUGGUUUUGGACUUUGAUUAGUUCUUUUGGGAUGGUGUAACAAGACCAAUUGUGCCGGAUUGUUCUGCGGUUGUUGUUACUGUUUGCCGAUUGAUGAUUAUAGUUAGUGUUCGAAGGAGUUCCAUGUCCGCUUGUUGCUCUUCAGAUUUCUUGAUAGAUUUGGAAUUGUUCUUUCCCCGAUUCUAAAGCAUAUGGCAAUAGGUAUCGCUAUGAAUGAAGUAGUAAGUGCAAAGAAAGAGUUGCUUUGGUGCCAUAAUAUAAUGCUGUCAUUGUGCUCUAAGUGAAUGCUAGGAUAGGUUCUGUAAAGGAUGUUUUGGUAUUUAUGCCUAUAGAAGAGUUUUACCAGCUUUGGUUAAGUGUGAACGUAAGCUUUGGGAGGAAGAAUGUUAGUACUGGUAGAAUCAUCAACCUUACUUUUAGCUCUUUAGUAGCAGAUAUAAAGUUAUGUUGUUCUUCCUUCUAAAAUUAAUUCUAAUCCAGUAGAAAACUGCCUUUAGUAUUGAAUGCAACAUGUGAAGAUUAGUUUUUCUAUAAUUUUUUUUUUUAUAUCAACUGUCAUGUAUGCUAAUUUUAUUGUUGGAGUUUAGCUCUUUUAUAGAAGAAAUACUUUCAGUACCAAUUACCAUGUUAGGUUAGCAUUAAUAUUGGAGUCUAGUUCUUUUACAGUUGAACUAUCUGUUAUAUUUCAUAUUCUCUUUUGAUAUGGCAGUCUUGGUACUAAGUACAAUAAAAAAAAAAAAUCCAUUUCUCUUGUUAAUCCUAGCUGUAGUCGCUUGAUUUCUUUUGGGUUCGUGGAUGAAUUCCACUUGAUUUCAUGGAAGUACAGGGUUAAUAAUAUUUCCAAUUGUUGCGGAAUGUUUUGAUCCAAAAGUGGAGGUAGAUGGGUAAUUGGGUCGUAAUCGAUUAGGGGUUGACAUUGUCAAGUUCUUUAUCAUUAAUUGUUUUCGCAUUCUACUUUGUUAGGCUCUUGUUGUAGUUAAACUUUAAAUACUUUUGGGGGCAGUUCUUUAGUUUGAUGUUGAAAACUGUAACCUUAAAGAUUCAUUGUCUAGGAGGGUGGAUAACGAAAAAUCUGGAGGCUACCAACUAGAGCUGCAUUAGCUCAGUUUUAAGCCUGGGUCAUUACUGCUACAUAAUUGGGUUGCUUCUUGCUUUGUACUAUAGCUACACAUGAUUGGUUCACUGAUUUAAAUGUUUGGGCAGGCUUAUGAUUUAAUUGUAUCUAUUAAAUCUGAUGUUAUGAUCUUACAACAUAUACAUUAGAUAUCUAAAGGAUGAUGCUACACAUGCUUGACUGUAGAAAUUAGUUGAACCUCUGAUUAGAGUAAUGUUUCUCUUAUUGAUGCCAAAAAGGUUUAUUAGGAAUGGAAUUUGUUGUUGCAUUUACACCUAUAGAGAUUGUUAUGACCGGACUAUGAAAUGUUAAGUUUACAUACUCUAAAUGUUGUUUGGGAAUUGUGAUAUUUUGCUCCAAACGAAUAAAAAGAUAUGACUGAUAGGUAUGAAGGGUGGCAGAAUUAGGGUGUUAGAGUUAUGCUCUGGGUUUAUAUAUUGGUGGUUGUGGUUAUAAUUCAACUGUAGACUAUUAACAGAGAUGUUGUGUGCAUAUUAACAUGGUUUCCUUUACUGGGGGAGCAUAGGAGGAGGAUUUAAGUGUUCCUAUAUAUGUUCGUUUAGGCAUCAAAUGUCUUGUUACAAGUUUAGUUUUAAGUUCAUAUGAUUUUCUGCAUAAGUUAUAAAUUUGGACUGUACAACCUUUUGUUCUUAACUAAUGAUAUGCAUGUCCUGAUGCUGAAUUGAAAAUGUUUGGACGAGUCAUGAUACUAGGAAGGAUAUUUUGAUACAGUAGGGAUCAUGGUGGUCAUGCAAUUUGAUAGCAAGAUCAUUAUAUUUUGACACAUGUAUAGAGGGAUUUCUUGCACAUGGUUGGCUGGAGGAAGUAGUAAAUAUUCAUGCUUACAUAUAAUUACCUGUACAAGAUUGCCAUGUUUGAAUUAAGCUACAUGCAUCAGUACAAAAUGUUAGGAUGGAAUCCAAGAUUUUCAUAUCCUGGUACCUGUUUAGUUAAUAUAUUUUGCACAUGCUUGGUUGAAGAGAAGAGUUGUUAUCCAUGCUUAAAUAUAAUUACCUCUACAAAUUGUCAUGUUUGUAUUAAGUUAUAAUAUAUGCAUCAGCAUUAAAUGAUAGGAUGGAUGAUCAUAAAGUGAAAUUUGAAUAAAUUUGCUAGAAGUAAGUGUUUUUUUUCCUCUUCUUUCUGGGUUGAGGAUGAGGUAGGAGAUAGGGUAGUUUGGGCCUAGAAAUUAUGACACAUAUUGUGAAUUUAGUGGUUAAGAUUCGGGACGGGAUACAGACGACUCAAAGUCGCUAGAAGAGUUACGUCAACCAACGACGGGGGAAUUUGGAGUUAAUCAUGGGAGAUCAAAAAUAAAAAAAAAUAAAUAAAAAAAAUAUAUAUAUAUAUAAAAAAAAUGUGUAAUCGCUACCCAAAUUAUUUGAUAAGCUAAAUUUCGAGGACGAAUUUUUUUUUUUUAAGGGGGGGAAAUUGUAAGGACCCACGAGCGAAAUUAAGGAAAAAUUUAUUUAUGAAAAUAUCUAAAGUCACACAAGUGUUAAUUUAAUGAUUAACUUAUAAAAUAUUCUAAGAAUUUAGGAAUUUUUGAGGGUACAAAUGAAUUUAAAUGACAUAUUUCAAGAGGAAAGAACUAUUAAAAACUGAUGGAAACAUACGAUACCUUAUUAAACUAGGAAUUAGUUGGCCUUAAUUAUACUAAGAUAGGCUAGAUAACCCACAUAUAAAAGCAAAACACCUUUGCCCAUCCAUUGUAGCCCUAAAACGCCGAUUUCAUGCCGCACUCUGCCCUAAACCCGUCGACCCCUACUCUCGCCCUUGUCGCGAGACGACGGAGCUGGUUGCCAUCGCUGGAGCUCCGACCGAGCAUCUCCCGGCGAGCCAAGCUUCACAGAGGACACCACAGUUGGGCGAGAUCUGCUAUCGAUGCGGCGGCACAUCGCACAGGCGUGGAAUGCAACAUGAAGGAAGGAAGAGGUGAGGAUGUGUCUCUGGACACGACGGAGGGCCUAUGGACGGAGUAGGCGAGGAGGCGGGAUGGACGCAUGGCAUUGUCCGGGUAUUAGGAGUGCCGAGCUUAUGUUUUCCAUGGAGGGGGAUUUUUGCUUUGGUGUUGUCUAGGGUUCUUGGUUGGGUUUUCUCUUUGUUAAACUCUUGUGUGGGAUGUUGGCUUUUACUUCCGAUAAAAUAAAUGUUUGAUUUGGUAUCA